UCCCAGCUCCACUCCGCUUCCAUUAGUUGUGGUCGCAUCCGGUUGCGCGGAGCCCAACACAGGGCUCGAACUCAAGGACGGUGAGAUCGAGACCUGAGCCGAGAUCCAGAAUCGGACGCUCAACCCACUGAGCCACCCAGGCGCCCCUGUGUGUUUAUAGUUUAUUGUAAAUUGUACUUAUAUUUUCCUAUCACUUUCUUAAGGCUAGAAGACAACUAAUAAAACAUAAAAUGAAA